rnacentral:tRNA from 1 species
GCCUAGGUGACGAAAUUGGCAACCGUAGCGGACUCAAAAUCCGCCGCUCGCAAGAGCUUGUGGGUUCAAGUCCCACCCUAGGCA